CAUUGUGUGCAAUGGAAAUAUUAACAAAAAUAUAUUUAUAAAUAUUGCUAUUUAUAAGGCAAUGUUGACUUUGAUCAGCUGUUCCCAGCACGCGCCCAAAACGUUACAUAAUGACGACAUCCUGUGGUGCCAAAUGUCAUUUCCUGCAAUCAUUAUAUUCCUUCCUUUGAAACCUAUAAAUAGACAAUAAAUGCAUACUCGUACUUAGACAAAAUUUUUAUAAAUAAUAGUAAUGAAGAUUUAUCAGAUUUUUAGAGAAGGUAGUUAUGGUUUAUUGAGGGGGAAGAACGAGAUAGAAAGGAAGAGGUGGCACCGAGCGGGACGUUUAGGGGUGAGUGGGAGCGGUGUCGGCCAGAACGUUGCCAGCCGCGGCGGGCAAAGCACACGCACCCUCAGCUCUCGUCACUGUGUCGUGUCCCUCCCUCCUUCCGUCUCCUUCAUAACGUCUAGUGAUCUCCGAGUUAAUACUCGUGGAAAAUCACCGCGGAAAGAAAGCAGUGAUACUUGAGACGAGUCACAUCUCGUGUUGAGAAGAUAACUAGAGUGCCAUACAGCAGUGCCAGGCACCACUAAGCGAUAUACAUACUCACCCGGAGGACGGGCUAGUGUGGCACUGAGUGUCAGCGAGUGUUGAGAGUGGCACCAUGGUGCCUGUCAAGCAGGUGACGGUGCUGGCCAGUGUCGGCACUAUCCUGGUGGUGCUCAGUGCCGUCUUCAUGGGCAUCUUCCCCGUCAUCUUCAGCUCCAUCGUCAACAAGACAAAAAUCAGAGGAUACAACUGACGAUUUACUAUAAAACCAGAAAAACGGCCAGCCUA